CAUUCUGGAUUAAACAGUAAAAUCACUGAUAUCUGCAAAUGUGUUUUUUUAUAAAGGAUUAUGACAUGACUCCCUAUUCGACUAGACCUCUAGGAAGAACAGAGCCAUUAUAUCAAUGGUUCUGAAUAGAGUGAUCCAUAUGUAUACUUUUAAGUGCUUAUAUAUUUAUAUUUAAUCUCAUAUCUUGUGCAAUGAAUUUUGUUGUGAUUUUUAUAUGGUAGAUAAAACCAAACCAAAAACACAGGACAAUCGUGUUUAUAAGAAUAAGGUUGGACAUCAUACUGAGUCUUACUGAAUAAUCCACAAAUGAGAUAAUUCAUAAAUAAUGUAUCACAUUUUGAACCUUUGUGAGUACUGCUGAGAGAGAAGAGAAAAUCAAGUAACCUGAAUGUGAUACCAUGUUUCACAGAUACUUAAAAAGACAUCAAAAUUAUGGAAAAUUUAUCAGAAAUGUUAGUUUUGAAGAAUGAUUUUAAAUCAUUCAUUUGCAUAUAUUCCAAAGUAUUAAAAAUACUAAGAGUUGACUACUAAAAAACAAAUAAGAUCAUUAAGAACAAAACAAAUCAUAAUCUUCUUUCUCGUUCACAAAUUGCACUUGAGUCUCUAACAAUACUUAGCUACUAUACAAUUUAAAUACUUCAAAUAAUUUUGUUUUCAACACAAAAGUAAAGCAUCACACGAGUAACCAACACAUAAAAAAAAUGUUUGAAUUCAUUCAAUGUUGAAUUAAUAUCUUUAAGUUUUCUAACCUACUGAAACCUCUCAAUAUCAAUUAUUGACCCAAUUCAAACAGCCUGGUUUGCUGAAAAUUGUGAUAAUUAUUUAAAUAUACGGCAUACCCAUGUAAACAGAUAAGGUCAAUCUGGCAUAAUAUACCAUAUAUGGAAUAAUGCCAUAAUAUCAUCUUAAAACCCCCAUUAUUUUUAGUAGUUUGUGUAUGCGCCAAUUCGCUGUGACAGUGAAAAAGCGUUCAAGCAUACAAUGAAUAUAUCAAUAACUCAAAUUGUGUGUCAUUUGUAUUCUAUUGCCACUCUAGGGAGAAAUAUAAAGAAAGAAUUACUAGCAUCAAAUCAGGGUGUUUAGAACUUUGCUUUCAACAUUCAAAUUCAAAAUUGAAAUACAUUCAAACCAUUUAAGUACUAUCACGGACAAUACAAAUUCAAGGAACAUAUAAGAAUGUAGUAAACAUUACAAAAAUUGCAAGGUUUCAAUGAGUCAGUAUAACAAGUGACAUAAAAUAGCAAAUAUUUACAAACCAAUUGCUAUUGUUUUUCUUAAAUUGCAAAAAAAACACAUAAUACUUUUUCAUUCUGAAAUAAAAUUUGCAUAAUAUUUACAUAAAUAUGCUGGCACUCAAUGCUAUGUUACAUAAAUGUACAAUUCUGAAAUAUUAUUGGCAUGAAAAUAAAGAGAUUUAAUUCCUUAUUUUCUAAAAUGUUGUUCAUACAUGGCACAUGUAACAAGAGAGUGAGAAACAACAGAAUAAAUCAAUGUAAGGAGUUUGCAUAAAUUAAAUUUGUGAUAAGUGCUUCGUGAUGCAGACAUGCUUCCUGUGAGUGGUGUUGUAUUGUGACAAAAUUAUGAAAGUUAGGGGGAUUUUCACAAAGAGCUAAACCUGAUUAAAAAUCAUGCAUAAGUGCCAAUGCACACAUAAUAUUCAAUGCAUUAACUUAUCGAUCAAUUAAUAUUCUGGUAAAAUCAAGUGCUCUUACAUUAUUUAUAGUGGAAUAUUCAAUAUUAAGGAUGACUUUUUUAUCAAUGUCUUGUCAUUUGAAAUCAUGUGGCCAUCGUAAUAAAAUAAUAACCAAUCCAAUUGAAUCUAAUUCAGAUAAAUAAAUUCAAAGUCAAUCUCGUUCUUACAACCUUCAUUUGAUUUCACAUAUUCAAACUAUUUUAAUAUCUACAACAAUGGUAUAAAAGUAAUCCUAAAUCCUAUUCAUCAAAUGAAUUCCUACGAUUGUGAAAUUUGUGAGUGAAAAAUACAAGGCACUUAAAUGUAAUAUCAAUAAAGGUACAAACGACAUACAUCUUCCUCUUAUUAUACUUGCAGCAUUACAAACCAUACAAUAACGGUACAUCUUUCUAAAAUACACCACAGAAACAAUACAUGGAGUUGAUGCAUAGUGCAAGAGAUGUGCAUUUAAAACUGAGAAAAGAGAUAUCAAAAAAUCAAAAUAAAAUUUGCUGUUUAUCUUACAGAUACAAUGAUAUAAUAGAGUCUGGCAAAUGGCAGGGGUAUUUUGGCUCGUUUGCUUAGGGAAACCCAGGCAUUCAAGUUAAAAGCAUGGAAUUACAGGCUGAUAGGCCUUUAAAAAUAUUGGGUACCGGUAAUAGAAAACAAUUUCAAUGAUGCAAGACCAUUUUUACAACCAAUAUGGGUUCUACCAAUAAACUAAUUGUUUAGCAUUGUUACUUUUAAUAAUAAAGUUAUCUUGCAAUAUGGGAAUUGCGUAUUAAAUUAUUUGACAUGCCAUAGGCUGAAAAGUCAAAACUUUUUUGGGUCAAUCUGUUUUUUUGUUGUUUAAUUCUAGGGUAAACUGGUUAAAAAUCUAACCCUAUUAAAUACCCUAAACCUAAAGCUAAAUCUUAAAGCUGAUCCCACUCCUAGUCUUCGGACCCUGAGACUCAAUCCUACGACUCUAAUUGAAAGACAAGAAUCAGAACCACUCAGGUUAUCACCUAACAACUGAAAUUAAUCUUAAGUGAGAUGGGAACAAACUUUUGUAAUUUGAGUGGUUUACAGCUUCGAAAAUUGAUCUUAGCAUACAGUGAAUCACCUCCUCCUGGUUUCAAAUAAAAAGGUCACCGACUGAUAGAGCCAAGAUAUAUUUCAGGACUGUGUUAAAUUCCUUUCAUUCUUAAUAUUAAUCAGGCCAUGUUUAUAUCAUCUUACUAAUAUUCACCAGUGUCCCCCCUUCCCCAAAAAUAACAAAGCUUAAAGGGGUGGUGCAUAUGCAGUGAAAAACACUGGGGUAAGGUGGGUCAAAUUGCAGUGAUAGAUACCUGCCAAUGAUCCUCUUCAAAUUCAAAUUCUUGUUGUUCCGAUUCACAUGCCAUGGCAAACAGGGCAAGAAAAGUUUAUAAUUUUCUUAUCUUAAAAUAUAAAACAUAUCUAUUUUUGUUUUAUUUGGAUAUACCUUUAAAUUCAACAAUUUAUUUUGUACUUUGAAAUAAGAAUAAAAUGUUCUUACAAUUUUACAGGAUGGCUUGUAUGUACACAUGUAUCUUUGUGAGUGUUUGUAUUUCAAAAUGGAACUUGACUUGUACUGCAAAACAAUGUCAGUCUAUAUCCUUAAGUGCCAGACAUACAGAUCUAAGUAGUCAUGGACCUAAAGUACAGAUGUGGUAGGUCCAUGAUGUAAUAGUGCUAUUAAUAAAGAAGCCCCCCCCUCAAGUUCUGAAUGUGAAAUCUCAGAAUCAAAGUGCAUUUACUGAUUAAGGUUGGGUCAAGGAUAUCUCCCUAUGUUCUGACCAAAGUAUAUGCAAUAUAUUGGAGAAAUCUUAUCUCAUGUCCUUCGCCUCAUGGUUCCAGGAUGCAGUCUCUGAUAGGUAUCCUAAAUGAGGCAUUUUGGGUAGUCAGUUCUUGAUAGAAUGACAACUGGAACUUCCCAUAAUUUGAUGACUGACAAUGAAGAUGAUGCAAAAAGAAGAAAAAAGAUGCUGAUGCUGUUCCCCUCCCAGGGACAGGUGACACCAAAGAAAUAAUACUAAUAAUAAUGAUGGUGAAAACAUUGGAUGAGCUCCUUGAAUGAUAUCCUCAGGUAGGCACUUGUGAUCAUGUUUCAAUGUUGACUUUCAAAUGGAAUCUAUCUUUCUGUUUUAUACUUGACUUUCAGCUGGAAUGGUGAUGAUUGGUGGUGAUGGUGUAAAAUUUUGAAAAUGAUGCUGAAUGUGCACAAAUGGUAGGUGUUGUCUUUGACUGGUGUCUUCAGAUAGGCACUUCUGAUCACACCACUCACUCGGAACACGGUGACUCUCAUGUGCAAUCAACCUUCAAAGACUGAGUGGCACAGAUGUGUGAUGUCUUCAGAUAGGCACACCACCCAAUCAGAACAUGAUGACAUAUUUCAUCAUUCUUCAACGACUGAUGGAUGAUACAGAUGUCCGAAUCGUGAUCCUCUGA
rnacentral:lncRNA from 1 species